UACGUAGGGUGCAAGCGUUGUCCGGAAUUAUUGGGCGUAAAGAGCUCGUAGGCGGUUUGUCGCGUCUGCUGUGAAACCACGAGGCUCAACCUCGGGCCUGCAGUGGGUACGGGCAGACUAGAGUGCGGUAGGGGAGAUUGGAAUUCCUGGUGUAGCGGUGGAAUGCGCAGAUAUCAGGAGGAACACCAAUGGCGAAGGCAGAUCUCUGGGCCGUAACUGACGCUGAGGAGCGAAAGCGUGGGGAGCGAACAGG
rnacentral:rRNA from 1 species